CUGAUUGCGCGCGGCCUCGAUGUGCUGGUCCUUGGCGAAGCCGAAGCCUUUCACACCGGCGUCGAUGUCGAGCGGCUGAAGAAAAUCUCGAUCGUGCUGAUUUCCGCGAUGACCGGCGUCGCCGUGUCGAUCUGCGGCGUGGUCGGCUUUGUCGGCAUUGUGGUGCCGCAUCUGUUGCGGAUCGUGAUCGGCCCCGGCCACCGGCUGCUG
rnacentral:misc_RNA from 1 species